rnacentral:lncRNA from 1 species
UAGAAUGGAGAUACCACACUUUCUGAAGUGCUUAUGAGACUUGCAGGAGGGAGGAAUCUCCCAGUGUUUGUGCCACGUUUUGAUCUGACUUAAAGCCGUAAACACAGCUGAAGCCUGGGCCAUCCACAGAAGACCCAGUGUUCUCUUUCUCCAGCCCAUUGUUUUCAGAAGAGUAUGUGUUUCUCAUGGGCAAAGGAGAGAAUCCAGAGUGAGAAGCUGAAGAAAGUGUGAAGUGCUAGAUUGGCGUGAUUUCAAAAGAAACACUGGGGUACACCUGAAAGGGGGAACAGGCAGACAUGAAGAAGAAAACAACCCUGGCGUCCGGGUGCUGAUUGCCUUUUUUAUUCGCUUGAAAAGCCUCUCAGUGGAUUGAUUUGUGAUUUGGAUACCACUUCUCCAGCUCGGGACUCUGAAGUCUGUGCUUGUCGUACACUUCAGACAGUCAGCAGCCUGCUCAUAGCAGGAAAAAUGACAUCAUUUGAAUGAAAGAGUGAAUAUUAGAGGAAGGCCUGGCUUUGGAAGAGUCCAGUCUGAUAAAGAAGAUGAGUGUGGACACAACUAUGACAGAACCAAACUGAGCACACUCAUAGACACAGAAACACGUGCACACACAGUCUAGAGAUGCACAGCUCUGCAAGUGUUAAUUGCCACCUUUCAAGUAAAGAAAGUAACGUCACACUCAUGAUGGAACAAUGUCUGUCCAGGAUACUCUUCCGGAGCUAACAGAGGGCACAAAUACGAGCAGCUUGCAUAGCUAAGGCCAGGAGGAUUCCAGCAGGCAGCCAUUGCUUUGGGAGCUUUUGCCUGAGGAAGUUGUUCAGAGCUAGAAAACAGAAGCUGCUUCGCCUCCAAGCUCUGGUUUUCAUUUGCAGAAGUGAUCCUACAUUACAUUUGGCCAUCACGUCUCCCUGGACUCUUCUUGGCUGUGACAGUUUCUCAGACUUUCCUUGUUUCGAUCCCCUUGACAGCUUGAGGAGGACUGGCUAAGUAUUUUUUAGGAUGUCUCUGUAUUAACAAUUGUCUAAUGUUUUUCUCGCGAUUGAACUGGAGUUUCAAUAAUAUAUUCAAAACAAUCCUUCUCACAUCCUGCCCUUCAAAAAAAAAAAAAAAA